UACGGAGGGUGCAAGCGUUGCUCGGAAUUAUUGGGCGUAAAGGGCAAGUAGGUGGUCUCAUUUGUCUGGGGUGAAAGCCUUGAGCUUAACUCAAGAAGUGCCCCAGAAACGGUGAGACUAGAGUCCUGGAGAGGGUCGUGGAAUUCCCGGUGUAGCGGUGAAAUGCGUAGAGAUCGGGAGGAACACCAGAGGCGAAGGCGGCGACCUGGACAGGAACUGACACUCAACUGCGAAAGCGUGGGGAGCAAACAGG
rnacentral:rRNA from 1 species